GAUGAAGAACGCAGCGAAAUGCGAUACGUAAUGUGAAUUGUAAAUUCAGUGAAUCAUCGAGUCUUUGAACGCACAUUGCGCCCCCUGGUAUUCCGGGGGGCAUGCCUGUCCGAGCGUCAUUGCUGCCCUCAAGCACGGCUUGUGUGUUGGGCCCCGUCCUCCGAUUCCGGGGGACGGGCCCGAAAGGCAGCGGCGGCACCGCGUCCGGUCCUCGAGCGUAUGGGGCUUUGUCACCCGCUCUGUAGGCCCGGCCGGCGCUUGCCGAUCAACCCAAAUUUUUAUCCAGGUUGACCUCGGAUCAGGUAGGGAUACCCGCUGAACUUAAGCAUAUCAAUAAGCGGAGGA
rnacentral:misc_RNA from 1 species